rnacentral:rRNA from 1 species
UAGGGAAUCUUCCGCAAUGGGCGAAAGCCUGACGGAGCAACGCCGCGUGAGUGAUGAAGGUCUUCGGCUCGUAAAACUCUGUUAUUAGGGAAGAACAAAUGUGUAAGUAACUAUGCACGUCUUGACGGUACCUAAUCAGAAAGCCACGGCUAACUACGUGCCAGCAGCCGCGGUAAUACGUAGGUGGCAAGCGUUAUCCGGAAUUAUUGGGCGUAAAGCGCGCGUAGGCGGUUUUUUAAGUCUGAUGUGAAAGCCCACGGCUCAACCGUGGAGGGUCAUUGGAAACUGGAAAACUUGAGUGCAGAAGAGGAAAGUGUAAUUCCAUGUGUAGCGGUGAAAUGCGCAGAUAUAUGGAGGAACACCAGUGGCGAAGGCGACUUUCUGGUCUGUAACUGACGCUGAUGUGCGAAAGCGUGGGGAUCAAACAUG